UCCCCAGCUGGCCUUAAAACUUGCUUUUGCCAAUAAAAUGAAGUGGAAGUGAUAGUGUGUGCCAGCUAAAAAGGCCCUGUGUACUUCUGCUCUCUCGAAAUCCUGCCUGGCUGGACUAGCCCGUGCUAACUUGCUGGGUCAGCUGUCUCCAGUCCUGAGGUCAUCACUCAUCAAGAGGGGAUAAUCCCAAGGACAGCAGGACCUGCUUCGUCACUUGGAUUUAGGAGUGACAAACCCAUCAGGCAACUAAACAGUAACAAUGACCCACCAUUAAACACACUGAGAGAAGAGCAUGAUGAGGAGAUUGUAGAGAAGAAUCCUGGAGCUCUUGCUGACAACACCAAUGGAGACGCUGACCACUAUGGGGCAACUUAGAUCUGCAUCCCCAAGAGGCCCGAGUUGCUUUAACCCUUAUGGACUGAGGUGGCUGCAGUUCCAGUUCCAGUUAUCAGGUGUAUGGAGACUAUGAUUCUGAAUGUUGAAAGUAAUCUUCACUAUCAACCAGACCAGUUUCUCUAAGACUGAGGUUUAAAAUAGCCCUGGCUCUCCUGGAGCUCAGCCCACAGUGUGAAUGGGAGCCCACAGAAGACAGUGACAUGGACCCAGCACAAAGCUCUUGACCAAAGGAAGAACCAGAACGUGUGUAAGAUCCCAGGCGACUUAGACCAAGGCCACAUUUAUUUCUUCCAAAUAUUGGCUCUUCUCACGGAUAUAAAGUGACUUCACAGGUUGUAGUAGUACAAGCCACGCAAGAAAGGACUGGUGUGAUGACAAGAGGAAGCUGGGCAGAAGCUAACAGCAAUCGUCUGAAGCCACAAGGGUCUGUGGACAAUACCACCUUCUAUGCAGGAGUCAGACGGUGCCUCAGAGUGCAGGGAGAAUCUGAUGGGCAGAAGCGCUUUAGCAAGGAGCCUGGACGCCAUCUCAUACAAGGAGCGGAGGAAGAAGUGAGUGUCUGUGCUGAUGGAGGAAAGAACUGAGACCAUGGAGACAAGUUUCCAGAUGGACAUUUUACCUCCACAAAAUAAGAUGCUCCUAUUCUUAGAACUGAGCAUUCAAACAAAAGCUGCCAGACCCUUUUUAAAGGAAUGGAUGAAAGAUUUCAACUCUGAUAUGUUGAAUCUAUGACAUGAGCAAAAUAGAACAAAUAACCAAGUUGUUGAUUUCAUGUCUAUUUGCUGUCAGAAAAACAAAAGUAAAAG